rnacentral:rRNA from 1 species
AACUAAUACUAGCCCGCACCAUGCACAACUAAACUAAUAAUAUGAAAUAAAACAAAACAUUUACCCUAAUAAAAGUAUAGGAGAUAGAAAUUUUAACCGGCGCCAUAGAGAAAGUACCGUAAGGGAACGAUGAAAGAUAAAUUAAAAGUAAAAAACAGCAAAGCUAAACCCUUGUACCUUUUGCAUAAUGAUUUAACUAGAAUUACUUGCCAAAGAGAACUUAAGCCAAACAACCCGAAACCAGACGAGCUACCCAAGAGCAGCUAAAGAGCAAACUCAUCUAUGUGGAAAAAUAGUGAGAAGACUCUUAGGUAGAGGUGAAAAGCCUACCGAGCCUGGUGAUAGCUGGUUGUCCAGAAUAGAAUUUAAGUUCAACUUUAAGUCAUGCCAAAAAACCUAAAAAAUUCAAAUGCAGACUUAAAACUUAAUCUAAAGGGGUACAGCCCUUUAGAAUCAGGACUCAACCUUAACUAGAGAGUAAGUGCAAACAACUCCAUAGUUGGCCUUAAAGCAGCCACCAAUUAAGAAAGCGUUCAAGCUCAACGACUCUAGCAAACACUAAUUACACUAAUAACACACGAACUCCUAAAUAGAUACUGGACUAUUCUAUUUCAAUAUAGAAGAAAUACUGUUAAUAUGAGUAACAAGAACUAGUUUCUCCAUGCACAAGCCUAUAUCAGAGCGGAUAACCCACUGAUAGUUAACAGCAAGAUAAUUUCACACCACAAUUAGACAACCUAUCAAAUUAACUGUUAACCCGACACAGGAGUGCACUAAUGGAAAGAUUAAAAGAAGUAAAAGGAACUCGGCAAACACAAACCCCGCCUGUUUACCAAAAACAUCACCUCCAGCAUUCCCACUAUUGGAGGCACUGCCUGCCCAGUGACAUUAGUUAAACGGCCGCGGUAUACUGACCGUGCAAAGGUAGCAUAAUCAUUUGUUCUCUAAAUAAGGACUUGCAUGAAUGGCCACACGAGGGUUUUACUGUCUCUUACUUCCAAUCAGUGAAAUUGACCUUCCCGUGAAGAGGCGGGAAUACUAAAAUAAGACGAGAAGACCCUAUGGAGCUUUAAUUAACCAAUCCAUAAACAACAUAUCCAAGAUUUCCAAGGAAUACAAAACCCUAUUUACUGGAUUGGCAAUUUAGGUUGGGGUGACCUCGGAAUAUAAAACAACUCCCGAGUGAUUAAAAUCUAGACCAACAAGUCAAAACAUAUAAUCAUUUAUUGAUCCAAAAAACUUUGAUCAACGGAACAAGUUACCCUAGGGAUAACAGCGCAAUCCUAUUUAAGAGUCCAUAUCGACAAUAGGGUUUACGACCUCGAUGUUGGAUCAGGACAUCCCAAUGGUGCAGCCGCUAUUAAUGGUUCGUUUGUUCAACGAUUAAAGUCCUACGUGAUCUGAGUUCAGACCGGAGUAAUCCA